GAAAUGACCAGGAAAGGUUGUAUAACUGACAGGUGUGCAAGUCUCAGUCCUUGAAGGCCUGGAUCUUCUAGGAAAAUGACUCACCCUUUUGUCCCCUGCCUUUCCUGGCAUUAUGAAGAGAGAGGAGACAUAAGUCCAGUCCUUGCUGAGGAAGAAAACCCCUACGCUGAGUCUCCAUCUCGGCCUCCCCUGUCUCCAAAUCUGUCGCCUCUGGAGGCCUUGGGGGCUGUUGCCGGGCACAUAACCGAUGGGGAAUGAACACAGCCGGUAAGGGUGGCUGUGCUGUUUGGGAUCUAGAGGAGUCUAACUUGCUCCAGAGGCUCACAGCUGUCUUACCCAUGGGUAGAAGGGAAACUCAGCUCCCCUGUUGCAAAGGGAAGCGCUGCUCUGUCCAUGAUGCCCCCAUACUCUGAGUCCCGAGGGAUGCAGGAAAGAUGACAAGGACUACAGCCUGAAUGUCCAUGUCAGGGGAAGACUCCCGAGACUGGGAACAAGGAAGAAAUGGCUACGAGUGUCUGUAGGAUGACUACGCUCUCAAAACUAGGUCAGCUUUCCUUCCGCUUCUAUAUUUGAUCAUGAAAAGUAGCAAACAGAAAGCAAUACUGAAGGCAACCUACGGCAAACAUCCAUACAUCCACCACCUAGGACCUGCAUCAUGCCAUCAACCAAGCGACCCCUCUUCCCCUUCAGUGCAUUUGGGAGUAAAACCAAAGUUCCCAUCUGCUCCUGCCCCGAGCAGUGUACCUGGCAUAUGUGUGUGUUUAGGGGAAAGCCUACAUGAAGGAAACUGCUUGCGUCGAGCUGCCUUUUGAGGUCCCACAUGGGAUGCAUGUAUCUUGUCUCAUGGGGCAGGGGUGGAGGACCUUAAGGUCACGGUCUUUUCCAGGCUUCUGUGUCUUCCACCUAGUUCCCUGACCUGUGCCUGCUCUGCGUCUCCCUCCUGCCUAGCCCUCUCUCCCUGUCUCCCUCGCAGAUGAUGUGCUGACUAAAGAUGCGGGUGAGUGCGUGAUCUGCCUGGAGGAGCUGCUUCAGGGGGACACGAUAGCCAGGCUGCCCUGCCUGUGCAUCUAUCACAAAAGUUGCAUAGACUCAUGGUUUGAAGUGAACAGAUCUUGUCCGGAACACCCUGCGGACUGACCCUGCCAGGCUUGCUUGCCGACUCCUCUCAAAGGUUUAUUUUAUUUAUUCCAAGUAAAUGCCCAGAACAGCUGAUGAUGUCAGACAAAUCGGGGACAUUUGCUCUUUUUACCUUCACCUCAAAAAUCUGAUGGCAAGGGGAGAAGAAAAAGCCAGGGCGAGAGUGAGGCAGAGGGAGUGGAGCCUGGCCACCUAGUGCGGGCCAAAUCCCCAGCAUGAUGCUUGGCUUCCGGGGGCCCUGCCUGGACUGGACCACAGACGCCCCGCCAGCCCGCCCUCCUGCCCUCGGGGGGACGUGCCUCCGCCGCCGCCGCCACAGGAUGCAGUCUGGCCCUCGGCCAGAGGGAGCACAACUGACUUCUUCUGACUCACACAGGGACAGACAGCCCCUGUUCCUGGGAGGAGGCUCCUUGGACACUGGACAGAGCUGAGCUUGGGACCCCCAGAAGGAACAGGGCACCCCUUCUGCAUUGACUUCCAGAAAUCGGUCCUCCCUCCUCCUCGAGGACAGCCAGUCAGAUGAGAGCGAGUUUGAGAGAAGAGUGAAUCUACUGCUGUCGCCCUCCGCCCCGGAGGGAAAGGGCAUUUUCUUUUUCACCUUUGAAAAGUGUGUGGGUCUGUCUUUAAAGUGUUUACAAAAAAAAAUUAUAUAAAAAAAGUCUAGUGUCGACUGGUGUUUUCCCUCGUGAUGUUUACAGAUUGCUGUUUGCUGCCCCGCUGUAACUCACUCAGUGACAGAGCCACACCUAGCCAUGUCCUCGCUGCCAGCGCCCUGGCGGCCGGUGGCACACGGUCCCUUUGCCCGGUGGCCCAGUUCACUCUCUGCAUCACCAACCUCUCUGCCUGGGGCUUAUUUGGUUUUGUUUUUCCAUAUUUUUUUCUGGCUUCGUUUUGCACUUUUCUCCCCUAAGAAUCCUGAUAGCCACUUGAUUUCAUUGCCAAAAACAAAAUAAAUGCCCAUCAAGGAUUUUCUCCUACCCCGUUUCCAUAACUUCCCCUUUCUUUCCUUGUGGUUCUGGUCAGUUCCGAGGAUUUAACAAUCACAAGUAUACUGCAUAAAUACCGGAACAUUUCUUAGGUCCUUAUGGAUUUUUCCCCCCAGAAAACUUAAAACAGAUGAGCAAAAGACUUUACUAAAGAAACAUGUACCACUACCCUUGUUUUCAGACUCUCUGAGAACAUUCUAGCCAUUGAUGUUCAUAUGUGGCAUCAGCCCAUGCAAGAUAGGUUUCUGUAUUUAUAUAUUAAAAUACAAAAAAAAAACCUUUAAAAUGUUUAAAAAAAACUGUUCAAAGCUUGGGAGAAAAACCUUUCUUCAUUAGUCAAGGUGUUUUGAUAUGGUAUUAAAAUAAUGUCUAACAAAAGAUGCACUGUGUGAUUUAAUUUUAAUCAAGUACUGCUAUUCAAGUAAGAAAUGGGG